rnacentral:lncRNA from 1 species
AACAUCAGAUCUCGCGAGGAGGUAACCGCGCCACCAAAAUCAGAAACCUCUCCCAUAUCAACACAGUUCCCUUCCUAAUCUCGUACUGGGUUCAUCGCAUGCCCGACGGCCGGUGGCGGAGGCAGCACCACGAUCUGAGCAAGGUUAGUUCCCGACGUACUCUCCCAUAACACAUCCUCUCUCGCUCCCUACUUUAUUGAUCUAUGCUCUUAAUCAAUUAACAUCUCCCUGCCACGCAAAUCCGUCUCGUAGGUCGUGGCAACAAUCCUGAGAAUUCAUCUAGUCUGUACCGUGCUCCUUAUCCAAUCUCAUUGCCACAAUUCAUCCCUCCGUAUUGGUUGUCAGCUAUUUUUUCACACACCAAUCGAUAUACACACAGAUCGCGAUUCUAGUUUAAUCUAACAUUGAUUUAUAUGUUCGGCUUACUCAUCGCAAAAGCUACCUUUGUUUAUUAUUGAGAUAUCUUAUGCUUUGCGCUGGGAUUGCCCCUUCCCAUGGAUCCUAUCCAAAUUCUUAUCUUUGGUGUCUCUCCCGGAUUGAAUUGUAAUUUUUCGAAUCUGGGUGUGCUAUAUGCUGUAUAGCAUGUUUCGCUGUCUUAGGGAAGGGGAAUUAGAGGUGGGAGUUUACUACAGGGUUGGGCUUGGGAAAGAGACUUUGACUUGUACACUAUAAGAUUUGAUUUGACUACUUGUGAGAAUCGAGAGGGAGUGUGGGCACAUUAGACAUGAAAAAGCAUUAGUCUGUUGUUGCACAUAAAAUUUAGACUAAUUAAAUACGGCAGCCCUGAUCGUGUUUAAGCAUAUUCAUACAAUUAGCACAAAACACACACUCACCUGAUUUUAAAUCUCAUAUGACUGGAUUCAUGUUUGGCAUCUGGGUUGAUCUAAAGGGAAAAGUUACAAGAAUUAGAAUUCGUAGGCACAAUCAAAUAAGAUGGAUGCGAAUUAAAAUAAUAAACUAGCCCAUUAGAUGGUACUAAUCGUGGUAAGAGGUUACUUGAGCUAUAUAAUUAUAUGCAUAUUCAGCUAGGACAGUGAUCAGUAGUGAUGAGAAAUCUAUGAAUAGAUUAAAUGAUUGGAGGGUGUGGUGAGCACAUUAAUAUCUCAUGGUUUGAGCUAUAAAUUCCAAAUGUGGGCAGUCUUGUUUACACCUGUUGUCUAUUGUUCUUGCGGUUAUGAGUAUCAUUUGAUUGGUUUCAGUGUAGGAGUACGGUAGUCAAGAUGUCAGUUAGUGAACUCGCUCUUCAGUAGCACAGGCUAGUAAGUGAAUUAGCAACCACUAAAACCAAAUAGAUCCGAUGCAAAUUACAUUUCAGAGUAAUGGUUUCAUAUCUUCGUUCAAUGUUUCACUAUUAAAAACAAAUUAUUUAGCGAACUCACCCUUCACUAACACAAACCAACUCCUACUCAUUACGGAGUUGCUACAUUUAUUCAGUGAGGAUUAAGGAAGAAACAUUUUCAGGCUUAUUCAGUUGAUUGUAGCGACAAUAUUUACUCCAAUACGUGAUUGUUUCAGCUAAAAUCUGAAGUAGUCAUGUUCACAUCUGAGGAGAUGGCUAUCAUAAGGUCAAGUGCCACCAUAUAGUCUCGAUCUCUGAAGAUAUCAGUAUGGUCAGUCUUAAUCAGUACCACCAGCUCCUAUUUAUGCAGUAUCUAAUCCUUUGAGCUAUAUUGCAAUUGUGGAUAAUCUUGUUACACCUUUUGUCUAUUGUUCUAGUGGUUGUGAGUAUCAUUUGAUUAUACCUACUCUGUCCUAAAUUAACGUUGGCCAUUGUCACGUUCCAGCAGAUUUGUCACGGACAAGAAUCAGCGUUGUUGAAUCCAAUGAACAAUAUAUGAUGGAAGAACCAAUCGAACAUCAUAAUUCUGCUGAAAAAGAUGUCAAAUCAUAUAAUGUCCAUGAAAGAACUACUAAUGACAAAUAAAUAUUCACAUAUUGUGUGAUGUUGAUGCGGAUGAAAAUGAAGAUGGUAAGUUUAUUGCUCAUUACUUACUGUUUGCAAUUAAAUAUAUAAUACCCAAAACUUGAUGUAUAUCAUGUUAUCCUAGAACAAAGAACUAUGGUUCAUAAUGGUGGUAGUGUUUCCAUGUUUAUAUGUUUAGUUGUUGCUAUCAAAAUGUUGUCCAGAAACAAGAAACUUUUGAUCAGAAUUUCAGUGCAUGGCAAUGGGAAAUAUAUUUUCAUGCAUAUAAGGUAUAUUGCCAUUACCAUAUACAAUAUGUUCCAAAUAUCUUGCUCUGAUGGUCGUCUUGCUACCAUAAUGUUGUUCAGAACAAAGAAACUUUGCUUCAGAAUGUCGGCACACGAUAGGGAGAACCAAAGUAUGGUGCAAACAAGUUGGUAUUUUUCAUAAUCACAUACAAAAUUAUGUUCAAACUAUAGUGCUAGCUUCUUUAUUUGUUUAUUACGUCUUCUUUACUAUCACAAUGUUGUCCAGACCAAAACAACAACAAAAGGUCUGAUGUAGACAGUAAGGGUGCAUUAAACUACCUGUAAAAGUGCUCAAAUUCAUUUCAUAUGUUGCUCUAUUUUGCCUUUGUUUUUUCAUGGGUGUUGAGGCUAGUUAUGACCAUGGUAACAUUGAGUUUCUCCAACAUGCAGAAACUGAAGUAUUAUUGAAGAGCCCGAAAAACCAUAAUAUGACGUAGUUCUUGCUACAAUUAUAUGUUCUGAUCCUAAAUUUUAAACUUGACGGUGCUGGAAUUAGGAAUUACUUUUGGGCCGUGCAUGUCGAUAUGGAGAUAAAACACGGAUUGCAUGGACUUCAACCUUUGUAUGUGACUAAACCUUGCCUCUAUUACUAGCAUUGUGUUAAUGCAUUGUAUUUUAACAGUUAUUUUUUUCGGUUUGUAGAUUCAAGAGAUAACUGGAUGAGUAUGCACGUGUGUGGCAAGUACACUUCAAUCAUGAUGUUGAUGUUCUGGUUCAUGAUGAUGAUGGAUGCUUUCAUUUUUAGUUGUAGGGAUGUUGACGUUCAUGUUAGAUGUUGUUCCUUGAUCUACUAGUUUUAGUGAAGUUGUAGGAAUGUUGAUGGAUGCUUAGUUUAAGUUUCUUUGUCAAGAUAAUGGGUAGAUUAUGCAUCACAUCUGGAUGAUGUUUCUCCUGUAAUAUCCACUAUUGUAAUCCAACAUUUUUAUCUAAUAUAUCCUUUUUCCUCUUAUG